UAGGAAACCGGGAACCAACCCAAAUCCUUCCUUCUCCCAUACACUCUGUGCUCAAUCAGUCCGUCGUCAUCGUGUGCAUUUUCCUCCGUGAAAAUCUCUCAAUUUCAUUCGUCUCUUUUGUCCCCGUCUUAGUUCCUGCCACAGUUGCAAACAUGAGGUCUUGAAGAAGCAACCAUCCCUGAACCAUGGCACUCAGACCCAUUCUUCCUUCCACGCUUCUGUCAGUGUGCUACCUGAAAAACGUAAUCCCUCAGAGGUCACACCUAGCCCACAGCAUAAAUCUCAGCUUUUUCGUGUGAGAGAGAAAGCCUGUCUUUGCUGGUUCCCGCUUACCUAUUCAGCAUCUUGCUUUGACCUUUGCACAAAUGGUAUAUUGAGUUUUAAAAGAUGCUUCUGCUCCCCCAACCCACAUACAAACAAAAGAGAUCAACUCCUCUUUCCUGUGAUCAGAAACAGUGAAUUUGAUUAUAACCAAGACAGAGUUUCUUAGACGAAAAUGAAGAUUGCAGGUUGCUGUUGCUGGUUAUCCCCGUCAAAGAUGAGGGUGAGAUUACACAGAGAAAUCAAGGUAGAUGCAUCUUUAUUCUAAUGAAUGUCUGUACUCUGGGUGCUACCACAGAGCUUCGGCAAAUUUCCUAGUCAUCUGCAGAACUGAGACCCCGGUGGGGUCACAUAGGCAGAACAGUAUCUCCGUUCUGGGUCAAAGCUUUGUUUUACCCAAGGCCCGCUCAGGGCUCUGUUCAGCUGUUAAUUCCUCAGCCUCAGCACUGCCACCUUAAGCUUGCCUGGAAGGGAAUUCCCAUGUGUUUGUGGUAGGCAGCUUCUUAGGCAGGCAGCUUCCAGGCUUCCUCCCCUCCUGAUUUCCAUGCCCUCCUGCCAACUCCUUCCUUUGAGUGGGUUGGACUCUCUGACUCCCUUUUAACACAUAGAAUCCAACAGAAAUUACAAUAUGUCAUCUUGAGAUCGGGUUAGAAAAAGACUGUAGCUUCCUUCUUGAGCAUCUCUCGUGGAUGACGUAUUCUGGGGGAAGCAGGCUGACAGGUGAUGAGCAGUCCUGGAAAGAAACCCACUGGAGUGAGCCUGGAAGUGAAUCCUUUAUUCCCCAUCAAGCCUCGAUGGACCGUAGCGCUGGUCAACAGCUUGGCCACAACUUCAUGGGAGACCCUGAGACAGAGGCACCCAUUCAGCUGGGACCAGAUCCUUGGUUCGAAGGAACAGUGAAGUAGUAAGUGUUUGUUGUUUAAUGCUGCUAAAUGUUAGGGGCGAUUUGGGAGGCGAAUAAACAAUACGUUGGUUGUUCACACCGGUCGCACCUCCAAGCAAUGCCUUGCGUGCUGUUAGCUCAUCCCACAGCCAAAUUAAUGAAAGCCUUUGGGAUUCCCACAGACACUGUGUCGUUUCAUUUCUUCCUCCCUGUUCCCCCCUUUUCUUCUUCCUAGAGGGCCCUUCACCUCCACGUGUUCUCUGCCUAGAGAUUCCCUGAGGCAGUAAAACCUUAAAUAUAGCACUUCCUCUGUGUUCCUUCUCUGUUUUGUUCCUACUGUUCACAUUCUAUUGUAUCAGCUUGAGAGAUCUGCUGACUCAGAAAUAUCAUGUCAUUCCACGUGCCUCUUUUCUCUGUGUGUAUUUAAAGAUGACACCUGCUUUUCCUCUUGGAAAAUAUAAAGGAAAACCUUUGUGAGAGUAGUAGGGGCCUGACUUAUUUAUUUUUUUAGCUUCUGAAACCUUCAACAUGCCAAUCAAAUCACAUAUCGAAACAGGUAGUUAAAAUAUUGUUAAACUGAACGUUAAGUUAGACUAUGUGGGUAAACCAAACUUUAGGCACAGUAAAAUCACCAGAGCUUCUGCGGUUAAAAAUGCCCUGUGGCAAUUUUCCUUGAAGCCUCCAUUGACAAUAAAAAGGAAGGCAUGCAUGAGGAAAUGCACCAUAAUGGCUUGUAAAAUAACUUUCAGAUUACCAGGAGUCAAACGUUCUGGUUUCUGUCAGGGCCCAGUGGCCAUUACCAGGCUUUAGUGGCUGCAGGUGCACUUGGUCCCUGACCUGCUUUUGCUCCUUCUACUUAAUCCCCUUCUCACUGGCUGUUACCCCAGCGCCAGUCCCGUCUGUUCCCCCUCAGCACUCACUCAUUCAGCACUGCCUUGGCAGAAGCCUGGUUUGCCAACGGAAAGGAAAAAAUUCCGCGAUGUCGCCAUAACCUCGUAGUUGAGUGACCUUGUAUUCUUAAGUUUAUUGGCCUAAAACUAUGGAAGCCUUUGGCCAGGUUGCUUUUCAUCAGAUUGUCAUGCUUUGUCUCAUCAAGUUAGAUAAUUACCUGCUUAUUUCCUGGAUAUAGAAUUCUAAAAAAAAUCCCUGACUUUUUAGAAUUCUCAUCCAACUUCAGUUUGGUUCUUUGCUGCUUUAUCUUUAGAAUUCACAAUUUUUAUUAUCAGCUUCUUAUGUGUUGGCUAUGCUCUAACCCCGAAUUGCCUCAUUUCUAAAAGCUUUCAUAAACUUUUCUCUUUAUUAUGAGUUAUUUCUCCUUUCAAAUGCUGUACAAAGAUUUCUGUGCAUUAAAUAUCUAUCUAUAUAUCUACAUAUAUAGAUAUGUUUAUAUAUAUAGUGUGCGUGUGUGUGUGUGUGUGUGUGCGUGUGUGUAUUUUGAGUGUAGACACUGAAGGCAGGGAAAAGACCAUUCUGAUUGGAAAUGUGCCAGAAAGGGAGGGUUGUUUGAAAGAAAUGGGUUCAGUUUCAUGAUUUUCUUUCACAAAUCUGGCUGUUUACUUGGAGAAAAAGCCGUAGUUACUCUGGGACUUGCUUUAAGAAUCACACACCUUGAACUCUGAGUUCUGCUGGCUGUUUCCAGAUGCAUAGGUUGACCUGCUGCUUAUUCUUCGAUUACACAUUAACCUUGUUUCCUCAGCUUUUUGAUAAUUAAGAAAUUCUCUUUCCUUUGACUGAACAUACAGAAGAUAAUGAGACCAGAUGUGAGGGUUAGUUAGGAAAUGCAUAUGAGUUUGCAUCGACCUAGGCAAUAAAGAAAUGAGCAACUGGAGAGAAAUUAUUUUGCAACACUAUAAUAUUGAAUUAUUACUGCUCCAUUUCAACUGUUAGAAGCAGAGCAGCAAUUGUCCCUCCUGGUCAUUAGCCUUCUCUUUUUUUCUUAGCAAAUUCCUCUUCUAACUUCAAGAUCAACCAGUCUCCUUGAGGAAUUUCUUCUCUGACGCCCUUUCCUAGUCCCCACACUGAGUAAUUGCCACAUCGCCUUAUUAUCUUCUGUUUGCUCUAGACUUUGAGCUGAUUCUUGUCCGUUUUCUUUGUGUUCCGAAAGAGUCGGUUAUAUAAGAGACUCUCAACAGAUGUUUCGAAGAAAGGAAGCAAGAACUUAAGUAUAAAUUUUUUAUCAUCUGCCGAGAGCUAUGACAAUAAUUUUAGCAUUGUCUUCUAACUCUUGAUGAAUUAUAAACCUUAUUGGAGUGUUUGGUAUGGGUUACUUUUAAAACUCCAAGAAUAUGCAUGUAUCCUACUAUAUCAGUAUUAAUUGGGCCCACAUCAGUCUGUCACUAUGCUGGUUUAUCAUUAGUAUGUGGCUGUAAUUUGGAGAUGAUGACAUUUUAAGUUCCACACAUAAUUUUAAAGGCUACACAAGUCUUCCAGUCUGAACUAUAACUGAGAAUCUAAGAAUAAGUAUUAAAUAUACAUUAAAAUUUGUAAAAAGGCAAACAAACCUUUACUGAACUACCAAGUCCCUCUUUAAACAUGUGCCAGUUUUAGUGAACAGCUAAUGUUGCCUCAGCUUAACCUAAGGCACUGAAGAAGGAAUAGAAGAAGAAGUGCAAAGAUGGAGUUCUUAUAGAAAAAAUAAGGCAUUUUCUAAUGGAAGUCAUUACAUUUAUUUAUUCAUUUCCUUAUUCACUCCAGAAAUAAUUACUGAGUUUCUAAAAAGUGCCAGGCAUCAUUCUAGUUCUAGGCUAUAGCAGGAGAUAAAACCAAUUCCCUGCCCUCCCGGAGGUGACAUUAUGGUGCUGGAGAUGGACCAUAAACAAAUCUGUUGUAGACUGAGGAUAAACAGACACAGUCAGACAGACAGACAGAUGGAAAGGAUGAUGUCAGCCUCCGAGAAGUUCUGUGAAGGAAACCGAGGGGAGGGGUCAGAGAAUCCGUGGAUUAUUCGGGUAGGUAGUGAGGGGAGCACUCUUCAUCAGAAUGAUCCUAGCAAGAUCUGAAAAGGUUCUCUACAGGUGAGAUCAUUUUAAAGCCAUAUGACUUUGCUACAUCUUUUUAUUGAAGUGUAGUUAAUUCACAGUGCUGUGUUAGUCUCAAGGGUACAGCAAAGUGAUACAGUUAUACAUAGAUAUCUAUGCUUUUCCAGAUUCCUUUCCAUUGUAGGUUAUUAUAAGACACUGAGUUGAUGUUCCAGUGCCAUGUCCUUGUUGUGUACACACUUCAUAUAUCAUAGUGUAUGUGUAAGCCCAAACUCCUAAAUUCUCUCUCCCCCACCCUUUGAUAACCAUUAAGUUUGUUUUCUGUCUGUGAAUCUCUUUCCGUUUUGUAAAUGAAUUUUUGUACUAUUCUUUAGAUUCUACAUAUAAGCAAUAUCAUAUAGUAUUUGUCUUUCUCUGUCUGACUAGUUUUAUUUAGUGUGAUAAUCUCUUAAGUCCAUCCUACCUGACAUUAUUUCAUUCAUUUUUAUGGCUGAGUAAUAUUUCUGUGUGUGUGUGUGUGUGUGUGUGUGUGCGCGCGUGUGUGCGUGUGCGUGUGUGUGUGUGUGUGUAUCACAUCUUCUUUAUCCAUUCAGGACUAUAUGAUUUUAGAAAAGCGUGAGAUGUAGGAGAGCAGCAGUGGAUGCCCAGGGAAACCAAAAAAUACUGGUCUUAAUUCAGUUUGACAUGUAGAGAGCUUCAAAGUUCUGUGCUUAAAAGCUUAAAACAAAAAAAAUUCACCUUAGAAACAGUUAAUGUUAUAUCUUUAUAGGAAAUGUGACUCCCUCUGGCAGCUCAAUUGUCUAGGUCCUUUGUAUGUGAAAAGGUGAUUCUAAUAUAUAUGUAGAUAGGGGUACUAUUUAUGAAAAUUCGAUAUUAUGUGAAAAAGCUUUUAGAAAAUGUGAAAUCAGUUGACUUGCUUGCAUUUAAUUGCAUCUGUAGUUCUCAACCUGAUUUUGUAGCUUGCUGUCAAAUUUAGCAUUCAUUUUGUCAUUGAAAGUUAUGUGACUAUAUAUGUAAUAUGUGUUGAUGCACACAAUGUAUCUGUUAUGUAAUACUGUGUUUCAUUCAUAGCAAGGUUCAAACAUCUUUUCAGACUUGUGUUGUUAAUGAUUGUUGAAGUGUUAGGGUUUCUUUGAGAGAUAUUGGCAGUAAUUAAUUAAUAGCAAACAGUCAAGUAGUAUAUUUAUUUCUAGGAAAAAGUUGGGUUGAAGUCAUUGGUUUCUUUUUCAAGUUCAGGUAGCUGGUAACAUUUUCAGACAAGAUGAAAGUUUAUUCUCUUUAUCAGCAAAUGAGUGUUGGAUCUGGGAGGAUAUAUUGCACCUAAAAUUAAAUUAAACUGUUUGAUUCCCACUUGGUGAGAUCUUGAUUACAUAAGGAAAUAGUAAAUACUAGUUUUGAAAGGAUAUUUCUAAAUAGAUUAAACAAUUACCUCUUCCUUAUAGAGAAGAUCUAAAUCCUUGCCCCACAAACCAUAAAAAUAACCAUUAAUACAUUUAAAUUCAUGAAUACGCUUAAUUUCAAAGAGUUAAUGUACUGUCUUGUGUGGUCCUCAGCUAGACUUCACUCCACAUUAGCAACUCUCACUUAUGGUACAUAAUUCCUUGCAUUUCCUAUGCUAAUCCUGUAACCUGGAUUAUAAAUGCUAAAGGAGCAAUCUCAAACCAGCACAGAAAUAUUCAGCAAAAAAAAA
ensembl:lncRNA